rnacentral:rRNA from 1 species
GAUGAACGCUGACAGAAUGCUUAACACAUGCAAGUCUACUUGAUUCUACUUCGGUAGUUGAUGGUGGCGGACGGGUGAGUAACGCGUAAAGAAUCUGCCCUUUAGUUUGGGAUAACCUCUGGAAACGAAGGCUAAUACCGGAUAUUAUGGAGACGUCGCAUGGCGACUCCAUGAAAGCUAUAUGCGCUAGAGGAGGACUUUGCGUCCCAUUAGUUAGUUGGUGAGGUAAUGGCUCACCAAGACCGCGAUGGGUAGCCGGCCUGAGAGGGUGAUCGGCCACAAGGGAACUGAGACACGGUCCUUACUCCUACGGGAGGCAGCAGUGGGGAAUAUUGGACAAUGGGCCACAAGCCUGAUCCAGCAAUUCUGUGUGCACGAUGAAGGUCUUCGGAUUAUAAAGUGCUUUCAGUAGGGAAGAAAAAAAUGACGGUACCUACAGAAGAAGCGACGGCUAAAUAUGUGCCAGCAGCCGCGGUAACAC